rnacentral:lncRNA from 1 species
GAACAACUCAUAAAUAUUAUUACCAGUAGAUUGAAGCAGAAAGAGGACAGUUAGCAUAGGCUAACGAGAAACUGAUCAUCCUCCACGUAAGCUGACAAAUCAAGAACCAAAAUUGCUGUCAAUUACACUCUGUCCACUAUCUUUCUGAUUCAGAGAAACUAUAAGAUAAGAAUUUCACAAGUCUAUAAAUAGGCAUAAUCCCAUUCUCCAGUCUCACAUCAACCCAGAAAUUAAGAUUCUUAAUUCUUAGUAGUAAACGAAACAUACAGUGACAUUAAGUUCAAUGGGUAAGUCAAGGUUAGUAGUCUGCCUGAUAAUUCUGGUUUUGGUCUUCUUUGCAAGGUCGGAGAGCCGUCCUCUGAGUUCAAUGGUUCAGAAGAGGAACGCAAGGGAAUUAUAUGAGGCCUUGAAUGAGUUCGCAAAUAGUGAAGCAAAUAGCAGACAUGAUUAUCCUGACAGGGUGAGCCCUGGAGGCCCUGAUCCACAGCAUCACGCAAGAAACAACUAGCUCCUUUGCAUUACAAACUUUCAGACAGCGAGAGAUGGUCUUAAAGUAUGUGUCUGUAUCUUUUUUUCUUUUUUUUUUUUUUUUUGAUAUGGGCAAUGUGCAUUUCUAAAUAAGGAGUUUUGGAGAGGUCAACUGACCGAGGACUUAGGUGUAAUAUGCAAAUGUUUCUUGGAUUAUAUAUGAAAUUGUUUUGAUAUAAAAAGUAGAAAAUUUACUAAUUUGUUCUUGAGUUUGUUAUUGUUAUGUUUUGGUCCUUUUAUUCUAAAUUGAAUUAUUUAAUCUCUG